CAUGGACCAUCAGACUCAGAGGGAGCAGAGGACGACAGCCACAGAAACACGCUUCAGAAUGAGACUCUACAGGAGAGGGACAGGCAGGCUACAAGCAACGUGACACAGAGCUGAGAUCAAGGCCUUUGGGCAUCGUUGCUGCACCGAUAAAACAGCUGGGCCCACAGCUGCAUGAAGCCAGUUCCACCAACACCUCCAUGAGACUGGAAGGGGACUAAGGUUUAAGGUGGAAACUCGAGCCGUUGGGCGCCAUUUGUUGCUGGAGGGCUUCUCUCAAGGUUCCCCAAGCCCCGAAGGUGAGGCCAGGAUGCAGGACGGGGCCUGAGUCUUGAUGCAGAGCAGGAAAGGAGCCUGAGACUC